GCUCAGGAUGAACGCUGGCGGCGUGCCUAAUACAUGCAAGUCGAACGAGUUCUCGUUGAUGAUCGGUGCUUGCACCGAGAUUCAACAUGGAACGAGUGGCGGACGGGUGAGUAACACGUGGGUAACCUGCCCUUAAGUGGGGGAUAACAUUUGGAAACAGAUGCUAAUACCGCAUAGAUCCAAGAACCGCAUGGUUCUUGGCUGAAAGAUGGCGUAAGCUAUCGCUUUUGGAUGGACCCGCGGCGUAUUAGCUAGUUGGUGAGGUAAUGGCUCACCAAGGCGAUGAUACGUAGCCGAACUGAGAGGUUGAUCGGCCACAUUGGGACUGAGACACGGCCCAAACUCCUACGGGAGGCAGCAGUAGGGAAUCUUCCACAAUGGACGCAAGUCUGAUGGAGCAACGCCGCGUGAGUGAAGAAGGCUUUCGGGUCGUAAAACUCUGUUGUUGGAGAAGAAUGGUCGGCAGAGUAACUGUGUCGGCG
rnacentral:rRNA from 1 species